UACCAAAGAAUUAGUCAAGAUGGUAAUUAAAACCUACAUUACUAUCUGUUACUUCUUUGGAAGAUCAAAAGAUCUCACUGAACCUUUCCUUUUUUAGGAAUUGAAUCUGCUCGUUCUGAUCAGAUUUUGUUCAAACUAGGACUAGUUUUUAGUCCUUUUCGAGAUGCUUCGGAAUCUUUUGAGUUGAAGCUAUUCUGUCGGUUCUUUUUACACGACACUUCAUGAAUAGAUUCGUAGUAUUGAAUCCGACAUGU
rnacentral:snoRNA from 2 species